CUGUCAAUAGGUGGCUGUGAAUAAGUGACUGAAAUAAUGUCCACCAGGUAGCGCGAGUGUCUUCAGGGACGCUUAUCGGCCAUUUUGUUCCAAGACGCAGCAGAAAUGGGUUGUUGGUUGUGACGUUUCUCACGAUGAAAAUUAAAAGGUGAUUUAGCUCAUAGUAACCAAUUUGCCAAAUCAUUCAACUCAGACUUGGAAGUGCCUGUACAUUUCCGAAAUGGCGUGCCUCGUGUGUCUCGCUGCCUGCCUUAGACGUACGUCUCAUCGCAUGCAACAGCAAAAAGUAUAACAAACACUUCUUCAACGCUGUUGGUUACCUUGUUGCAGCCAAAUGGUGAAAGGUGUG